rnacentral:rRNA from 1 species
UACGGAGGAUACGAGCGUUAUCCGGAUUUAUUGGGUUUAAAGGGAGCGUAGGUGGAUUGUUAAGUCAGUUGUGAAAGUUUGCGGCUCAACCGUAAAAUUGCAGUUGAAACUGGCAGUCUUGAGUACAGUAGAGGUGGGCGGAAUUCGUGGUGUAGCGGUGAAAUGCAUAGAUAUCACACAGAACACCGAUUGCGAAGGCAUCUGACGAAUCGGAGAUUGACGCUGAUGCACGAAAGCGUGGGUAUCGAACAGG